rnacentral:rRNA from 1 species
GAUGAACGCUGGCGGCGUGCCUAAUACAUGCAAGUCGAGCGAACAGACGAGGAGCUUGCUCCUCUGACGUUAGCGGCGGACGGGUGAGUAACACGUGGAUAACCUACCUAUAAGACUGGGGUAACUUCGGGAAACCGGAGCUAAUACCGGAUAAUAUAUUGAACCGCAUGGUUCAAUAGUGAAAGACGGUUUUGCUGUCACUUAUAGAUGGAUCCGCGCCGCAUUAGCUAGUUGGUAAGGUAACGGCUUACCAAGGCAACGAUGCGUAGCCGACCUGAGAGGGUGAUCGGCCACACUGGAACUGAGACACGGUCCAGACUCCUACGGGAGGCAGCAGUAGGGAAUCUUCCGCAAUGGGCGAAAGCCUGACGGAGUAACGCCGCGUGAGUGAUGAAGGUCUUCGGAUCGUAAAACUCUGUUAUUAGGGAAGGACAAAUGUGUAAGUAACUAUGCACGUCUUGACGGUACCUAAUCAGAAAGCCACGGCUAACUACGUG